GCCCCGGCUAACUACGUGCCAGCAGCCGCGGUAAUACGUAGGGGGCUAGCGUUAUCCGGAUUUACUGGGCGUAAAGGGUGCGUAGGUGGUCUUUCAAGUCAGUGGUUAAAGCCUACGGCUCAACCGUAGUCAGCCUCUGAAACUGGAAGACUUGAGUGCAGGAGAGGAAAGUGGAAUUCCCAGUGUAGCGGUGAAAUGCGUAGAUAUUGGGAGGAACACCAGUAGCGAAGGCGGCUUUCUGGACUGCAACUGACACUGAGGCACGAAAGCGUGGGUAGCAAACAGGAUUAGAUACCCUGGUAGUCCACGCCGUAAACGAUGAGUACUAGGUGUCGGGGGUUACCCCCUCGGUGCCGCAGCUAACGCAUUAAGUACUCCGCCUGGGGAGUACGCACGCA
rnacentral:rRNA from 1 species